rnacentral:rRNA from 1 species
GCUCGAGUGGCGAACGGGUGAGUAACACGUGAGUAACCUGCCCUUGACUUUUGGAUAACUUCAGGAAACUGGGGCUAAUACCGGAUAGGAGCUCCUGCUGCAUGGUGGGGGUUGGAAAGUUUCGGCGGUUGGGGAUGGACUCGCGGCUUAUCAGCUUGUUGGUGGGGUAGUGGCUUACCAAGGCUUUGACGGGUAGCCGGCCUGAGAGGGUGGACGGCCACAUUGGGACUGAGAUACGGCCCAG